rnacentral:tRNA from 2 species
GGGGCUAUAGUUAACAAUAACGUUUGAGUUGCAUUCAAAAAGUACUACACCCAUAGUAGUUAGUCUCA